rnacentral:tRNA from 1 species
GCCAGGGUGGCUGAGUCAGUUAAGCGCCUGACUUCAGCUCAGGUCAUGAGCUCUGGGUCCUUGGGUUCGAGCCCCGCAUCAGGCU